rnacentral:Y_RNA from 1 species
GGCUGGUCGAAUGGUAGUGGGUUAUCAGAACUUAUUAACAUUAGUGUCACUAAAGUCGGUUUUCAACCCCCCACUGCUAAAUUUGACUGGCUUAAA